GGAAUUACCUUUUCUUCUUCAAUUUCCGAUUCUGUUAGCCAAACCAUAAUCCUUGCAGGCACUUAUUUUCAACACCUAGAGCUCACGAGACUCUCUUCUCCACUACCUUGGGUUUUUUUCUUUUUUGGCCACCCUGCUGACAUACGGAGUUCCCAGGUCAGGGAUCAGGUCCUAUCCUGCAGCUGCAGCAAUGCCGGAUCCCUCAGCCCACUGGGCCCACCAGGGGUCCAAUCGGUGUUCGGGUGCUGCAGAGACAGUGCCAAUCCAGUGGCGCCACAGCGGGAACUCCACCCCUUUCCAUUUCUAGAAAUGCGGCUGGGCCCCGGCGCCGGCCGGCCUUGUACCUACCCCCGCUGCCUCCACGUCAGCCUCCUACCAUCUCAUGCAGCGUGUUCAACCUGGGAUGUGUUACCCGCUCUGUGGCUUUACCUUCCUGGGGUGAGGAGAGAGCAAGGCCCAGCCUUUUGACGAACGUGGAGCCGCUUCCACGCCACUGGGCUUCCUGGGCUCUAUACAUUUACAGACGGCUUUCUCCCCACGUCUCCUGGAUCCAAAUUCCCAACUGCCCGGCACACAGUUUAACAGGUGCCUCUUUUAAUCUCACCGGCUUCUGCAGCCAAACACACUUAAGCACACAAUCUCAAGAAAACAUGACAAGUGUGAUGGAAAGCAGGUGUGAGCACACAGUCAAAGUGUCUAGAAAAGAGCAGGCGGAGUGCCGUCUUGAGGGACACAGGGUGCUGGGGGUCCCCCAAGCCACCUCCAGGUGGAUGACUCACGAGGGAGACUCCCAGGAGUUGGGACACGGUGGUGCUCUCGGCUGUGCUGUGUUACACGUCAGUCAACAAAGGGAAGAGGGACCUGGGGUGACACCCAGGCGAGACCCGGCAUAAGCCUGCAAAGGGCCCCUCCCAGAGGAACCACCCAGGACUCCGUUCCUCCCUGGAUGAGCUGUGACAACAUGGGUGAAGUGCUGUCCUCCAGACACACUCAUCAGAGACUCCGCACUCAGGGCUGGUCCCGCAGGCACCCUCCGCCUGGCAUAGACCCAGAAGGAGAACCGGUGCCCAGCACAAACCAUCCCGGUUGCACAAAAAGUGCAGGUGCGGCGAGCUGCUCUAAUCAGUUUAGGAAGGUGGGGAGCCCUCCCCCUGAAAUUUGAGUCCCCAAACCAGCCAAGGGCCAGCCCCGUAAGCAGGCCAUUCCAGGGACAGCAGUCAGGCCUGUGGCCCUGAACAGCUGCGCAGAAGGUGAGCCGGCCAGGGCGUUCCGGCAGCGGGAGGCCCGGGCACUGCAGCACCAGGGCUGAGCCAGGGCCACGGGCAGGCCUCCUGAAGGUGAAAAGUGGGCCGGAUGUGGUGCCUGUCCAGGAGAGGUCGGGGAAGGACAGCCCCCCAGGGCAGGAGGAGCCUCGGCUUCCUGACUCAGGUGACUGUGAAGUCACCGAGACAGAUGUGCUGACCUGGGCAGUGGGAGAGAGAAAAAAUGGUUCCUUGUAGAUGAGCGGGGCCAGAGGCAGCUGCCUGGGGCCUGACAGGGGUCCCGAGGAAACCCAGGAGAGGGCUGGGCCAGCCCACGAACGCCCCCCGUGGGCUGGUCCUCUCUGAGGAGUGGCAGGAGGCAGGCGUUUCUUUCUGCGUCCACGUCCUAACUACCUCAUGCACGGAAGCGAGACCGUGCAUGGCUCCCGUGCCCCGACCCCAUCAUAGAUGAGGUCUGUCUCAGGAGGAGGCAAGGGGUUGGGGGUCACUCUUGCACUCCUGUGACCCCUUCUGUGAUGCUGGGACACCCCAGCUGUGAGUGCUCCUGAGGCUCCCCAGCAACCCCGGCUCUUGGGACUAAGCUUCGGUCCAGGGCUCAUUUCUGUUCUUGCCCGGGUGGCCCACCUGGUAGAACACAGGACCCAUGGCCUCAGGAGCCCGGCAGCAGGGUGGGUCCCCACUAGAUCUGGGGGAUGCUCCAACAGCAAGCUGUAACUGCUGCCUGCACCAAGAAUCACAGUCCUGGUGGGGCUGGGGUGGGGAGAUAAGCCAUUAUAAUUACUCAGUGUGAUGAACCGGAGGACAUCCCUGUGCGAAAGACACCGGGGAGGAAAGCCAGGAAGGCUUCUGAGCCGAGGCAGCACGGACUCCAGACUGGGGCCAGCAGGACCAGCCAGGCAGAGGCGUGAAGGCACCUGUGCCCAGGGACGCGGGUGGUGGGCAUGGCUGGGGCAAAAGCUGGAACAGGAGGACAGAAGCAGGCCAGGCCCGGCCCCGAACACUGUGCCAAGAGGCACGAGCUUCUGGGGGGGCUGGGAGAGGGUCUGGAGCAGAGACCCACCUGGCGGCUUGGGGGCCAUUUCCAGCCUACAGAUGCCUUCACAUCAGCCCCGACGAGAGCUUAACGGUUUUUGGAAUCAAUUGCCAACACUUUAAAAAAAUGACAACAUUGGAUCUGCAAACCCCAGUUCCUGGCUUCUUUGAAAAACUAGGACGAUCUGGGAACAUGGGGGCCGCAGAGUAAGAGGGAUGUGGAAGUGACGGCACCCGGGUGGCAGAGCCGCCCGCUCUUGUGGGAACCAAAUCCUUAACCAGCUCUCCACCGUGAUACCCACACAUCAAAUGUGCCUGCUUGGCCCCUCUGGUGCAUUUGUGUUUGUAAUUCCUGCAUUAAACGCUUCUAUUCAUUUGGCCACAGGCAACCCAAGUCCACUGACAUCCUGGAAUCAGACUGAAGGAUCCCGUCGGGAACCGUUUGAUUGAUAUCACAAAGAUCCCAAAGGUUACAGAUCCUGGGAGAGGACACAAGCUUAAAGUUAGAGAGCUCUGGAGUUCCCACUGUGGCUCAGCAAGGUAAGAGGAUAUGGAUUCUUAACCUCGCUCAGUGGGUUAAGAAUCCGGCAUUGUCGUGACGGUGGUGUAGGUCACAGAUGAGGCUCGGAUCUGGCAUUGCUGUGGCUGUGGUGCAGGCUGGCUGCUACAGCUCUGAUUCCACUCCUAGCCUGGGAAUGUCCAUAUGCUGCAGGUGCAGCCCUAAAAAGCCAAAAAAAAAAGAGAGAGAGAGAGAUCUCAGAUGCAAGGCAGAGAGGAAAUACUGUCCCACUAAGACAGGGGGUCCGAUUCAGACGGCACCAGGCAGAUGGAGGAGGCUGCAGAGCUGGCGGGGGCGUGGGAGCAGUUCUAAAACGGCCUUUAGGAGAGAAGAGAGUCAGUCCAGGGUGAGGGGGUGUGUGUGGAGAGUGGGUCCAGGAUGGCUUCCAACAAAGGGGGAGCCCAGUGGAGUGGGAGCUGGGGGUGGGUGGCGAGGAACCAGGGGCAUCACCAGAGACCAGACAGGUUCAUGCGGCCUUGAAGGGGGGCUGCACGGUGAAAACCGAGGAGGAGGGUAACAGGACAAGAUUCCCACUGAGUUCUGAAGACCCGUAUCUCAAUUCUAUGUAACAUUUUACAGAAGAUGAAGACAUAUUCCGUUUACAGGACUGGCGGGGGGGAAGGCUUGCCCUCUCGGCACUUUCCAGAGGAUCCCUUCCAAGAAAAAUGUCUUCAAACUCAUAGGAACACAAAAGAACCAACAAAACUAAAAUACAGUGAUCAAAAAAAAAUUUUUUUUUCUUCUUAUGUUCACACCUGUGGCAUAUGGCAGUUUCCAGGCCAGGGGUGGAAUCAGAGCUGCAUCUGAGACCUACCCAGCAGCUUAUGGUAAUGUCUGAUCCUUAACCCACCGAGUGAGGCCAGGGAUCGAACCUGCAUUCUCAUGGAGAUGACGUUGGGUCCUUAACCGCUGAGCCACAACAGGAGAUUCCCAAAAUAUUUUAAAACUGCCUAAGGCAGACAAACAACACAACUCUUGAUUGAUGCUUUAAGACCUAGUGGGAGAGUGGUACCCACCACACUCCCAAAGAGUGGGCGUGUCAAGCCACCCAUCGAAUUGCCUGUGACAACUGCCAGGUGAGGUGAGAGGGCCAUGAUUUUGUGAGUGACAGAAUUACAGGUGCCACUACUGCUGCUGUGGACUGGCGCCUAUAUUCACCUUUGGUGGAAAUGCUAAAUCUGGGCAGAGGUUAGCAGAAAUAAAGACAACAUUCCCUUGCCCACACUCUUGGAUCCUGAAUUUUAUCUGCAGAGCAUGUUAAGGACUCUUGCUGGAGAGCAUCCGCCGUGGGCUCUGGACCACACCACCUUCCAGCUGCAGUGGCCAGUGAGCUGGCAGGACCUCCUUGCUCUGGAACUUACGGUCUUUAUACCUGAUCUAAGAAAUAGAGAAUGGGAGGGAGGCCCAAGGCCAGGAGAGGGUGGAGGGUGGCGCCUCGGAGGGAGCUCAUGUGGGCAGCACCUUGUACGAGGGAGGCGGGCAGGAAUGGGCAUCAGAGAGUGGCGGCCACAGAUUUCUUCUCAACAUGGAGACAUCAGCUAAUGCUGGGCUCACAGUCCUCUAACUCCCUGCUGAGGACGGGUGAAGACCUCACAAAUGACCAUGAACGGCAGUGGGACCAGAGCUUGUGAGGAAGCAGAGAGCAGGGGGUGUACAGGUGAGGAAAGGGGACACCGGGAGGAAACGGCACCAGACGAGGCUGUGAGGAGUGAUGCACGCUUGAAAUAUGUGACUCUUUUAGCAACAGCAGAAGAGAGAACAGCAUCUCAGAAGUCCCUGGAAGGAACCAGCUCUCGGGAGCUGGUGCAGUCAUGAUGCAGAACCAUCACCAUGCCUGGCACCUGGCAAGGGCUUGAGAAACACUGGGAACUGUGUAUAAGUUGCUAAAUGAUAAAUAACUUUUUGGAGUCCCCACUGUGACUCAGCAGACGUGAACCUGACUAAUAUCCAUGAGGAUUCGGGUUCAAUCCCUGGCCCCGCUCAGUGGGUUAAGGACCUGGCAUCGCCGUGAGCUAUGGUGUAGGUCGCAGACAUAGCUCAGAUCCCACAUUGCUGUGGCUGUGGUGUAGGCCGGCAGCUGUAGCUCUGAUUCAACCCCUAGCCUGGGAACUUCCAUAUGCCACGGGUGUGGCCCUAAAAAGCAAAAAAAAAAAA
rnacentral:lncRNA from 1 species